CAGGAAGAUGUUCUUCCAUAACUUGUGCAUUGUUUUAGUUAUCAAAAUUCUUUUGACAACUUUUUGUCACAAGGGU